rnacentral:rRNA from 1 species
GAUGGGGGAUAACUGCGCGAAAGCGUUGCUAAUACCGCAUACGACCUACGGGUGAAAGCAGGGGACCGCAAGGCCUUGCGUCGAUGGAGCGGCCGAUGCCGGAUUAGCUAGUUGGUGAGGUAAAGGCUCACCAAGGCGACGAUCCCGUAGCUGGUCUGAGAGGACGACCCAGCCACACUGGGACUGAGACACGGCCCAGACUCCUACGGGAGGCAGCAGUGGGGAAUCUUGGACAAUGGGCGAAAGCCUGAUCCAGCAAUGCCGCGUGUGGGAAGAAGGCCUUCGGGUUGUAAACCACUUUUGGCGGGAAAGAAAUGGUCUGUGCUAAUACCACGGAUUGAUGACGGUACCCGCAGAAUAAGCACCGGCUAACUACGUG